rnacentral:rRNA from 1 species
UACGUAGGGUGCAAGCGUUAAUCGGAAUUACUGGGCGUAAAGCGUGCGUAGACGGUUAUUUAAGUCGGGUGUGAAAGCCCCGGGCUCAACCUGGGAAUUGCAUUCGAGACUGAAUAGCUAGGGUACGGUAGAGGGAAGUGGAAUUUCCGGUGUAGCGGUGAAAUGCGUAGAUAUCAGAAGGAACAUCAGUGGCGAAAGCGACUUCCUGGACCAGUACCGACGUUCAGGCACGAAAGCGUGGGGAGCAAACAGG